rnacentral:rRNA from 1 species
GACGAACGCUGGCGGCGUGCUUAACACAUGCAAGUCGAACGGAAAGGCCCUGCUUUUGUGGGGUGCUCGAGUGGCGAACGGGUGAGUAACACGUGAGUAACCUGCCCUUGACUUUGGGAUAACUUCAGGAAACUGGGGCUAAUACCGGAUAGGAGCUCCUGCUGCAUGGUGGGGGUUGGAAAGUUUCGGCGGUUGGGGAUGGACUCGCGGCUUAUCAGCUUGUUGGUGGGGUAGUGGCUUACCAAGGCUUUGACGGGUAGCCGGCCUGAGAGGGUGACCGGCCACAUUUGGACUGGGAUACCGCCCAGACCCCUUCGGGAGGCAGGAGGUGGGAAUUUUUCCCCAUGGGCGGAAGGCUUAUUCAGCAACGCCGCGUGCGGGAUGACGGCCUUCGGGUUUUAAACCGCUUUCGCCCUUGACGAAGCGUUAGUUACGGUAAUGGGUAAAGAAGCACCGGCUAACUACGUG